rnacentral:rRNA from 1 species
CCUGCCAAUCCUCGAUAUAGGCCGUCCCCUUCGGGGGCAGAGUGACAGGUGGUGCAUGGUUGUCGUCAGCUCGUGUCGUGAGAUGUUGGGUUAAGUCCCGCAACGAGCGCAACCCUUGAUCUUAGUUGCCAGCAUUCAGUUGGGCACUCUAAGGUGACUGCCGGUGACAAACCGGAGGAAGGUGGGGAUGACGUCAAAUCAUCAUGCCCCUUAUGACCUGGGCUACACACGUGCUACAAUGGACAGAACAAAGGGCAGCGAAACCGCGAGGUUAAGCCAAUCCCACAAAUCUGUUCUCAGUUCGGAUCGCAGUCUGCAACUCGACUGCGUGAAGCUGGAAUCGCUAGUAAUCGCGGAUCAGCAUGCCGCGGUGAAUACGUUCCCGGGCCUUGUACACACCGCCCAUACACUCAAAUGAAU